rnacentral:tRNA from 1 species
UAAGAGGUAACUUAAUUGGUAAAGUAUUAACCUGUCGAGUUAAAGGAUGAGGGUUCAAGUCCCUUCCUCAGUA